AGUGAACGCUGGCGGUAGGCCUAACACAUGCAAGUCGAACGGCAGCACAGUAAGCGCUUGCUCUUACGGGUGGCGAGUGGCGGACGGGUGAGGAAUACAUCGGAAUCUACUUUUUCGUGGGGGAUAACGUAGGGAAACUUACGCUAAUACCGCAUACGACCUACGGGUGAAAGCAGGGGAUCUUCGGACCUUGCGCGAUUGAAUGAGCCGAUGUCGGAUUAGCUAGUUGGCGGGGUAAAGGCCCACCAAGGCGACGAUCCGUAGCUGGUCUGAGAGGAUGAUCAGCCACACUGGAACUGAGACACGGUCCAGACUCCUACGGGAGGCAGCAGUGGGGAAUAUUGGACAAUGGGCGCAAGCCUGAUCCAGCCAUGCCGCGUGAGUGAAGAAGGCCUUCGGGUUGUAAAACCCUUUUGUUGGGAAAGAAAAGCAGCAUGUUAAUACCCCGCUGUUCUGACGGUACCCAAAGAAUAAGCACCGGCUAACUUCGUG
rnacentral:rRNA from 1 species